UACGUAGGGUCCGAGCGUUGUCCGGAAUUAUUGGGCGUAAAGGGCUCGUAGGCGGUUUGUCGCGUCGGGAGUGAAAACUCAGGGCUCAACCCUGAGCGUGCUUCCGAUACGGGCAGACUAGAGGUAUGCAGGGGAGAACGGAAUUCCUGGUGUAGCGGUGGAAUGCGCAGAUAUCAGGAGGAACACCGGUGGCGAAGGCGGAUCUCUGGGCCAUUACUGACGCUGAGGAGCGAAAGCGUGGGGAGCGAACAGG
rnacentral:rRNA from 1 species